CAGCCGCCACGGUAAGACAGAGGGUGCAAACGUUGUUCGGAAUUACUGGGCGUAAAGCGUGUGUAGGCGGCUUCGCAAGUCGGAUGUGAAAGCCCCGGGCUCAACCCGGGAAGUGCACUCGAUACUGCGGAGCUAGAGUGUCGGAGAGGUUGGUGGAAUUCUCGGUGUAGAGGUGAAAUUCGUAGAUAUCGAGAGGAACACCGGUGGCGAAGGCGGCAACCUGGCUCAUUACUGACGCUGAGGCACGAAAGCGUGGGGAGCAAACAGGAUUAGAUACCCCUGUAGUCCCUGUCUCUUAUAC
rnacentral:rRNA from 1 species